AACGAACGCUGGCGGCAUGCCUAACACAUGCAAGUCGAACGAGACCUUCGGGUCUAGUGGCUCACGGGUGCGUAACGCGUGGGAACCUGCCCUUAGGUUCGGAGUACCUCCCCGUAAGGGGUGCUAAUACCGGAUAAUGUCUUCGGACCAAAGAUUUAUCGCCUUUGGAUGGGCCCGCGUUGGAUUAGCUUGUUGGUAGGGUAGAAGCCUACCAAGGCGACGCUCCAUAGCUGGUCUGAGAGGAUGAUCAGCCACACUGGGACUGAGACACGGCCCAGACUCCUACGGGAGGCAGCAGUGGGGAAUAUUGGACAAUGGGCGAAAGCCUGAUCCAGCAAUGCCGCGUGAGUGAUGAAGGCCUUAGGGUUGUAAAGCUCUUUUACCCGGGAUGAUAAUGACAGUACCGGGAGAAUAAGCUCCGGCUAACUCCGUG
rnacentral:rRNA from 1 species